UACGUAGGCAGCAAGCGUUGUUCGGAGUUACUGGGCGUAAAGAGUGCGUAGGUGGUGCCCUAAGUCUGUUGUGAAAUCUCCCGGCUUAACUGGGAGGGUGCGGUGGAAACUGGGGUGCUUGAGUGUGGGAGAGGUAAGCGGAAUUCCUGGUGUAGCGGUGAAAUGCGUAGAUAUCAGGAGGAACACCGGUGGUGUAGACGGCUUACUGGACCACAACUGACGUUGAUGCGCGAAAGCUAGGGGAGCAAACAGG
rnacentral:rRNA from 1 species